rnacentral:rRNA from 1 species
CUAACACAUGCAAGUCGAGCGGUAGCGGGCCUGACCACUCUCGAGUGGUUCAGGCGCCGACGAGCGGCGGACGGGUGCGUAACACGUAGGAAUCUGCCCGGUAGUGGGGGAUAGCCCGGAGAAAUUCGGAUUAAUACCGCAUACGCCCUAAGGGGGAAAGCAGGGGAUCUUCGGACCUUGCGCUAUCGGAUGAGCCUGCGUCGGAUUAGCUUGUUGGUGGGGUAAAGGCCUACCAAGGCGACGAUCCGUAGCUGGUCUGAGAGGAUGAUCAGCCACACUGGGACUGAGACACGGCCCAGACUCCUACGGGAGGCAGCAGUGGGGAAUAUUGCACAAUGGGCGAAAGCCUGAUGCAGCCAUGCCGCGUGUGUGAAGAAGGCCCUAGGGUUGUAAAGCACUUUCAGUGGGGAGGAAAGGUCCAAGGUUAAUACCCUUUGGCUGUGACGUUACCCACAGAAGAAGCACCGGCUAACUCCGUGCC